GAUUCAUUUUUUUACUUGGUUUAGCAUGAGUAUUUGUUGCUGAACAUGAUUCCUUUGUUUGUUACCUAGGCUUUUGAAUCAGAAAGCCAAGAAUUGGAGCUGGAUCUUUCAAGUUUGGGUGCUGUAAAUACCAUGUUUGCUGAUUAGAGCAAGAUCUAUCAAAACAAAUGGAUUCUCAUGGCACAAAGAGUAAAGUAAAUGAAAGCAAGUGCAAAAAGGUCCUACAGAAAGAGAGCAAAAAGCUCCUACAGAAUUGGUGCUUGGAAGAUUCCAAAGCUAGGCUCCAAUGAGGCCAUGAGAGUAGCAAAGCUUGCAAAGCUACUCUUUUAUGUAAAUUUCUGGAUGUAUAUAUUGCUAGGAGAGUACUAUUAGAUGUACUUCUUUUGUGGAUACAAUCCAUUUUGGUGCAUGAUGUGGAUUAUAACAAUUUCUUCUAUAUAUUGAUCAGUUACUGUUAA